GGGCUCGCAGGCGGUUUCUUAAGUCUGAUGUGAAAGCCCCCGGCUCAACCGGGGAGGGUCAUUGGAAACUGGGGAACUUGAGUGCAGAAGAGGAGAGUGGAAUUCCACGUGUAGCGGUGAAAUGCGUAGAGAUGUGGAGGAACACCAGUGGCGAAGGCGACUCUCUGGUCUGUAACUGACGCUGAGGAGCGAAAGCGUGGGGAGCGAACAGGAUUAGAUACCCUGGUAGUCCACGCCGUAAACGAUGAGUGCUAAGUGUUAGGGGGUUUCCGCCCCUUAGUGCUGCAGCUAACGCAUUAAGCACUCCGCCUGGGGAGUACGGUCGCAAGACUGAAACUCAAAGGAAUUGACGGGGGCCCGCACAAGCGGUGGAGCAUGUGGUUUAAUUCGAAGCAACGCGAAGAACCUUACCAGGUCUUGACAUCCUCUGACAAUCCUAGAGAUAGGACGUCCCCUUCGGGGGCAGAGUGACAGGUGGUGCAUGGUUGUCGUCAGCUCGUGUCGUGAGAUGUUGGGUUAAGUCCCGCAACGAGCGCAACCCUUGAUCUUAGUUGCCAGCAUUCAGUUGGGCACUCUAAGGUGACUGCCGGUGACAAACCGGAGGAAGGUGGGGAUGACGUCAAAUCAUCAUGCCCCUUAUGACCUGGGCUACACACGUGCUACAAUGGACAGAACAAAGGGCAGCGA
rnacentral:rRNA from 1 species